AAAUUAUUUUUACAUUGAAAAUGUAAUGUUUUUAAUAAACUAUAUAAAUAGAAAUAUAAACAUGGA